rfam:Triticum urartu cultivar G1812 contig124399, whole genome shotgun sequence.
AGAGAAUUGGCUGAGUGGUUUAAGGCGGUAAGUUUGAGUUUUAUUAAGUUGUAUAAACUGCAUCCGUUCAAAUCGGAUAUUCUCUG